rnacentral:rRNA from 1 species
CAGUCGCCGCGGUAAUACGAAGGGGGCUAGCGUUGCUCGGAAUGACUGGGCGUAAAGGGCGCGUAGGCGGAUGGCACAGUCAGAUGUGAAAUUCCCGGGCUUAACCUGGGGGCUGCAUUUGAUACGUGUUGUCUAGAGUGAGGAAGAGGGUCGUGGAAUUCCCAGUGUAGAGGUGAAAUUCGUAGAUAUUGGGAAGAACACCGGUGGCGAAGGCGGCGACCUGGUCCGUAACUGACGCUGAGGCGCGAAAGCGUGGGGAGCAAACAGGAUUAGAUACCCCAGUAGUCCCUGUCUCUAUACA